rnacentral:tRNA from 1 species
AGAUAAAAAGCGAAAAAUUGCAAUCAGUUUCGACCUGAGGUUUGGUGUUAAUACACCUUUAUCUG